GUUUGAUCCUGGCUCAGAGCGAACGUUAGCGGCGGGCUUAACACAUGCAAGUCGAGCGAGAAAGGGGCUUCGGCCCUGAGUACAGCGGCGGACGGGUGAAUAACACGUAGGUAACCUUCCUUUCAGCGGGGGACAACGGUCCGAAAGGACCGCUAAUACCGCAUACGUUCCCUGGGACCUCGGUCCUGGGGAGGAAAGGCCCGCAAGGGCCACUGGAUGAGGGGCCUGCGUAGCAUCAGCUAGUUGGUGGGGUAAUGGCCUACCAAGGCGAAGACGCUUAGCUGGUCUGAGAGGAUGAUCAGCCACACUGGGACUGAGACACGGCCCAGACUCCUACGGGAGGCAGCAGUGGGGAAUAUUGGACAAUGGGCGCAAGCCUGAUCCAGCCACGCCGCGUGAGUGAUGAAGGCCUCGGUCGGUAACGACUCCUGUGGGGAGGGACGAAC
rnacentral:rRNA from 1 species